GGGCGAAUGUUGGAAAUGGUAGACAAGACAGACUCAAAAUCUGUUGCUAGCAAUAGCGUGUGAGUUCGAUUCUCUCUUCGCCCACCA
rnacentral:tRNA from 1 species